rnacentral:lncRNA from 1 species
UUUAGAAACAGAAGCAUCUACUGGAACAAGCGGGACACCUGGUCCCAAUAAAGAAGAAAAGGAGCGUUUGAUUAUGCAAGUUUUAAAUCUAACAGAUGCUCAAAUAAAUAUGCUUCCUGAAGAUCAACGAGAAAGUAUACGUUUAUUAAAAGCGCAGUUUGCUAAUAAAAGAAACUAAAUUAAAAUGCUAGUAAGAAUUCGAUAAAACAAAAGAUAAAGGAACUUAUCA